rnacentral:rRNA from 1 species
UGAAUACGAGAUGCUACGGCGUCGAAGCAGUGUAUGUCAGACUUCCAAGAAAAGCUCGCAAUGUCAUAAAUAAAUAAUGCCUGUACCAUAACCGACACAGGUGGGUAGGUAGAGUAUACUAAGGGGCGCGAGAUAACUCUCUCUAAGGAACUCGGCAAAAUAACUCCGUAACUUCGGGAGAAGGAGUGCCUUAUUUAUAAGGUUGCAAUAACAAGAUCCAAGCAACUGUUUAUCAAAAACACAGGUCUCCGCUAAGUCGUAAGACGAUGUAUGGGGGCUGACGCCUGCCCAGUGCCAGAAGGUUAAAGAAGUUGGUUAGCAUUGCGAAGCUGAUGACUGAAGCCCUGGUGAACGGCGGCCGUAACAAUAACGGUCCUAAGGUAGCGAAAUUCCUUGUCGGGUAAGUUCCGACCCGCACGAAAGGCGUAAUGAUUUGGAUACUGUCUCGGAGAGGGGCUCGGUGAAAUAGACUUGUCUGUGAAGAUGCGGACUACCUGCACCAGGACAGAAAGACCCUAUGAAGCUUUACUGUAACUUGAAAUUGAAAUUGGACUUUAUUUGCGCAGUAUAGGUGGGAGGCGUUGAAAAUAAUCUCGCGGGAUUAUUGGAGCCAUCAGUGAGAUACCACUCCUAUAAUGUUAGAUUUCUAACUUUGUAUCAUUAUCUGGUCAAAGAACAGUUUCAGGCGGGCAGUUUGACUGGGGCGGUCGCCUCCUAAAUGGUAACGGAGGCGUACAAAGGUUUCCUCUGAACGGGUAGAAAUCGUAUCUAGAGUAUAAAGGCAUAAGGAAGCUUGACUGUGAGACCUACAAGUCGAGCAGGGACGAAAGUCGGUCUUAGUGAUCUGACGGUGCUGAGUGGAAAGGCCGUCACUCAACGGAUAAAAGUUACUCUAAGGAUAACAGGCUGAUCUCCCCCAAGAGUUCACAUCGACGGGGAGGUUUGGCACCCCGAUGUCGGCUCAUCGCAUCCUGGGGCGGUAGUACGUCCCAAGGGUUGGGCUGUUCGCCCAUGAAAGCGGUACGCGAGCUGGGUUCAGAACGUCGUGAGACAGUUCGGUCCAUAUCCGGUGUAGGCGUUAGAAUAUUGAGAGGAGCCUUCUUUGGUACGAGAGGACCGAGAAGGACAUACCUCUGGUGUACCAGUUAUCGUGCCAACGGUAAACGCUGGGUAGCUAUGUAUGGAGUGGAUAACCGCUGAAAGCAUCUAAGUGGGAAGCCCACCUCAAGAU